GGGUGCAAACGUUGUUCGGAAUUACUGGGCGUAAAGCGCGUGUAGGCGGCCAUGCAAGUCGGAUGUGAAAGCCCUCGGCUCAACCGGGGAAGUGCACUCGAAACUGCAAGGCUAGAGUCUCGGAGAGGAUCGUGGAAUUCUCGGUGUAGAGGUGAAAUUCGUAGAUAUCGAGAGGAACACUGGUGGCGAAGGCGGCGAUCUGGACGAUGACUGACGCUGAGACGCGAAAGCGUGGGGAGCAAACAGG
rnacentral:rRNA from 1 species